AUAUAGACAUAUGUACGAGAACAAAAGUAAAAACAAAUUGAAAAACUACGAGUAUACACACAUAUGAAGAUUCAAAUACAUUUUUUUUUGAAACUUAAACUUAAUCUUUUAAGAAAAUUUAAUUAAAUAAUAAUAUAAUAGUCUAAUUUAUAUUUGAAAUAUGGAAUGUACAUCAGGCUUUCAAUCAGAUGGUCCCACAACAUCUAAUUACUCUCAGACUCAGACAAUUUCUUCAGUAACAGAAACUGAUGGAGAACAAGUGGCACCGGUUUUAAGAUUGCGAUUACAAAAACCGAAAAACCCAAAGAAAGUAGCUUGGAAAAGUAAUACUAUAGAUAACGAGAAUCUGGGAAAAAAAAAAUCAAAAUGCUGCUGUAUUUAUAAAAAACCUACAGUCUUUGGUGAAAGCUCCUCCGAAAGUGACGACGAAUGUGAAAACUGCUUUGGUCAUCCAGAAAAAAAAAAGAAAAAUCGAGGUGGAAAUCACUUUAGCAGUGAUAAAAAUUCAGAGGAGCCCAACACAUAAUGCUGAAGAAAUCAAUAUCAACACUAAAUUUUAUUAUUAUUUAUAUCAACUCCCAUGUAAUAUAUGAACUAGGCAAUGUUACGAUAAAUUAUAGCCAUAUGUUAGAACUAUAUGUAUUUUAAUAAGUGCAGUAUAUAUGUACAUUGUAUUAUAGACUUAUUAUAUUAACGAUCAUCCACACAAAUUCAAAGAUGUAAUAUUUUUGUGCUUGUAUUCUAACGGUAGACACAAUCAAUUCACUCCUUCUGGAAAGAAGUAAAACAAGAUACGAGUAUCUAUAUAUAAAGAAAGAUACAUAUUCGUGUAUCAUUUAGAGCAAGAUAUGAGCACAAUUUUUCUACAAAUUUUCUCCAAUUUUUACCAAUUUUCUCCAAUUUAACAUUGAUAAAUCGAAAGAAAUUUCUAAUAAAUGUUAUCCAGCUGAUGACCUACUGAAACGUUCAUCAAUUAUGCAAUAAUUUUCUGACUAUAUAAAUCUAAAUACAAGCUUCACAUACAGCGAAUUUGACAAAAAAAAUUUUAAAUUUAGAAAACAAUGGUGUAUCUUUGGUAUUGAAAUAAUUGUUAUACGAAUUAAAAACAUUUAUUUUUUUUUGUUAAUGUU